rnacentral:rRNA from 1 species
GUUUUUAUAAUGUUUGUUGUGAGUAAACAAGCAAAUAAAUUAAAACUUUCAACAACGGAUCUGUUGGCUUUGGCAUCGAUGAAGAACGCAGCGAAAUGCGAUAAGUAAUGUGAAUUGCAGAAUUCAGUGAAUCAUCGAAUCUUUGAACGCACAUUGCGCCCGCCAGUAUUCUGGCGGGCAUGCCUGUUCGAGCGUCAUUACAACCCUCAGGCCCCCGGGCCUGGCGUUGGGGAUCGGCGGAAGCCCCCUGCGGGCACAACGCCGUCCCCCAAAUACAGUGGCGGUCCCGCCGCAGCUUCCAUUGCGUAGUAGCUAACACCUCGCAACUGGAGAGCGGCGCGGCCACGCCGUAAAACACCCAACUUCUGAAUGUGACCUCGAAUCAGUAGA